UACGUAGGGUGCAAGCGUUGUCCGGAAUUAUUGGGCGUAAAGAGCGUGUAGGCGGCCACACAGGUCAGCUGUGAAAACUCGAGGCUCAACCUCGAGACGUCGGUUGAAACCGUAUGGCUAGAGUCCGGAAGAGGAGAGUGGAAUUCCCGGUGUAGCGGUGAAAUGCGCAGAUAUCGGGAAGAACACCCGUGGCGAAGGCGGCUCUCUGGGACGGUACUGACGCUGAGACGCGAAAGCGUGGGGAGCGAACAGG
rnacentral:rRNA from 1 species